AGGACGAACGCUGGCGGCGUGCUUAACACAUGCAAGUGGAGCGACGAACCGGGGCUUGCCCCGGGGCAGAGCCGCGAACGGGUGAGUAACACGUGGGUAACCCACCCCGAUGAUUGGGACAACCCGGGGAAACUCGGGCUAAUACCAAAUGUGCUCGUAGACCAUGAGGUCCAUGAGUAAAGAUAGCUUCGGCCUUCGCAUCGGGACGGGCCCGCGGCCCAUUAGCUUGUUGGUGAGGUAACGGCUCACCAAGGCUGCGAUGGGUAGCUGGUCUGAGAGGACGAUCAGCCACACUGGGACUGAGACACGGCCCAGACUCCUACGGGAGGCGGCAGUGGGGAAUAUUGGACAAUGGGCGCAAGCCUGAUCCAGCCAUGCCGCGUGGAUGAUGAAGGCCUUAGGGUUGUAAAGUCCUUUUAACGGGGAGAUAAUGACGGUACCCGUAGAAUAAGCCCGGCUAACUUCGCGCCAGCAGCCGC
rnacentral:rRNA from 1 species